rnacentral:lncRNA from 1 species
CAAAUUUCUUCAAUAUAAAAAUUGAUUUUUGUGUCAGUUUUGUAACCUACAACUGAAUUUAUUACUUCUAACUGUUUUUUUGGGGAGUCCUCAGGAUUUUAUGUCUAAUACCAUGUUAUUUGCAAAUGUGAUGAUUUUACUUCUUCCAUUCUGACUUGAAUGCCUUUUAUUUCUUUUUCAUGCCUAAUUGUUUUUACUAGGGCUUCUGGUACUAUGUUGAAUAAAAGUGGCAAGUGUAGACAUCCUUUAUUUUUUCUUGAUCGUAGAGAAAAUCUUUAAGCUUUUCACUGUUUAGUAUGAUGUUAGCUGUGGGUUUGCCAUAUAUAUGCUGUAUUAAGCUGAGGUAUGAUCCCUCCAAACACAGUUUAUUGAGAGUUUUUAUCUGGAAUAGAUGUUGAAUUUUGUCAAAUGCUUUUUGUGCAUUUUUUGUUAAUUUGGUGUUUCACAUUAAUUUAUCCAUGGAUGCUGAACUUUGCAUCCCUGGAAUAAAUUCCACUUGAUAAUGGAGUAUGAUCCUUUAAAUAUACUCUUAAAUUUGGUUUACUAAUAUUUUUGUUGAGGAUUUUAGCAUCUAUAUUUAUCAGUGAUAUUAGCCUGUAAGUUUCUUUGUUGCAUCUUUGUCUGGUUUUGGUAUCAAGAUAAUAUUGGCCUCACAAAAUGAGUUUGGAAAACAGUCCCUGUCUCUUCUAUUUUUUGGAGGAGUUUGAAAAUGGUUGGUAUUAAUUAUUCUUUAAAUAUUUGGUAGAAUUCACAGUGAAAACAUCUGGUUCUGGACUUUGCUGGGAAAUUGUUUCUUACUAAAAUCUCCAUACUAGUAAUUGGCCUAUUCAGAUUUUCUAUUUCUCCAUGAUUCAGUCUUAAUAGGUUAUAAAUUUUAGGAAAGUAUCCAUUUUUUCCCUGGGCUGUCUAAUUUGUUGUUGUUUAAUUGUUCAGAGUAGUCUCUUACAAUCCCUUGCAUUUGUACAGUAUCAGUACUAAUAUCUCCUCUCUCAUUUAUAAAUUUCAUAUUUGAGUCUUCUAUCUUUUUCUUGGUGAAUCUAGCUAAAAGUUAAUCAUUUUUUUAUUGUUUCAAAAAACUAGCUCUCAGAUUUUUUGAUUUUUCUAUUGUGCUUUACUCCCUAUUUCAUUUAUUUCCACUCUGAUCUUUGUUAUUUUCUUUCUUCUGCUAAUUUAGGGCUUAUAUUGCAUUUUUUUUUCUAGUUCCCUGAAGUGUAAAGUUUUUUUUUUUUAAUUUUAAUAUUCUCUUUUCCCCUUAAUUUAGAUAUUUAACACUACAAACUUCCAUUGUAGAACUACUUUUGAUGAAUCUAAGUUUUGGUAUGUUAUAGUUAUUUUUAAUACUUUUAUCCUUAACCCACUGAGCGAAGCCAGGGAUCGAACCCACAACCUCAUGGUUCCUAGUCGGAUUUGUUAGCUGCUGAGCCACGAUGGGAACUCCCUAGAGCAAUAUUUUAAGUAAAUAAUAGUAUGAACAAUUAAUUAUAAAUUUUAACUGCACUACACACACUAUUUGAAGUGGAGUCAGAAACUUAACUGAAGAGUGUUCAGACAAAUGCCUUUUCAGGCUUCUUCACACCACUUUGUCAGAAGAUGUAGGAGCAGGUCUAGCUAUGUUUCAAUUUAUCAAAGCUCUGGAUGAUUAAACAAAACUAGACCAUUCAAGGAAGAAGAAAUCAGCUAGUAAUUCUAAAACUAAGUUAAUAUUAAGAUCAUAUUUGUCUUGUUAACAUUUUAAAAUUUUAUUAUUAUUAUACUCAACAACUUGGAUUCUUCUGAAGGGAAUUAUAAAGAGUGAAAAAAGGUCAUUCUCACUCAUACUGUAUGUUUCUACUUAUCUAUUUUCCUAGAAAUGAAAAAAAAAAUUAGAGAUUGAGAACAGAUUAGUGAUUACCAGGCGUUAGGGAAGGAGGGAGGCAGGAAGUAGAAGAAUGUCCUAUAUGUGGUAAAUCACACAGAAUUGAACACACACACACACAUAUAUGCACAAAUUAGUGCAAAUAAUCCUGGGGAAAUCUGAAUAAGACCAGUGGAUUACAUCAAUAUCUAUAUCUUGAUUGUCAUAUUACACUACAGUUUUGCAAGAUUUGAUGAAAAUUGGGUAAAGAAUUCAAAGCAUCUCCUUGUAUUACUUCUUGCAAUUAUCUCAAAAUAAAAAGUUCGAUUAAAAAUUACAACAAAAGUUUUAUUAGAUUUAAUUCCAUCAUUUCUCCCCAAAUAUUCCAGGAAAAUGGAAAAAUGACACAUUAUUAUUUUUCACUCUGAAUCUGGCAAACUGUUCCAAUUCUCCUAAUUAUAUAUUUAAAGAAUUAAAUAAAUAAAAAAACAUGCUAGGUGAAGAGUAUUUAAUUUCCUAUUGGAAAAAAUUAAGAAAAAUAGAUCAUUUUAAAGCAUAGAUUUAAUUCUUCUUCAAAUAAUAUACCUUUAAUAUUUUAACUUUAUAUUAACUAAGAAAUGCUUAAAGAGGAAAACAUAUCAUAUAUCUUAUCUUUAACUUUUAGGAUUGGGUCCAUUUUUAUUUGAAUGACAGUCCUCUUUGGGGUAGCAAAAACAUAGCUGAAAUACAUUAGAGUGUAAUUUAUGCAGAACAGACUUGAACCAUGGGAACUCUUGACUACAAAUGGGAUUUUAGUUUUCAAAUAAUUACAAACUAAGGUCGUUCAAUAGUUUAAAACACUUAAUCACUUGCUCUGGUAAUUAAAAUUUCCAAGAGGAAGAAUGUUCAUGGAUCUUUGGUAAAUCACUUUUCAUGGUGACACAAUUUCCUGCACAACCAGCAUAAAAUCAGUUUUGUUUCUUUUUCUCCCCACAUGUGACCUGGAGAUUCUUAUGAUGUAUCUGUAGGAAAUAAUUUAUAGUGACCCUUUCUUGGAACUUUGAUCUUCUGAGCCUUACUGACUUUGAUUCAUAUAUAUUUUUUUCGUCUCUUUAGCGCCACACCCGCGGCAUAUGGAGGUUCCCGGGCUGGGGUCAAACUGGAGCUAUACCCCACAGCCUACACCACAGCCACAACAACAUCAGAUCCAAGCUGUGUCUGCGACCUACACCACAGCUCAAGGUAAUACCAGAUCCUUAACUCACUGAGAGGUCAGUGAUGGAACCUGUAUCCUCGUGGAUGCCAGUCAGAUUCAUUUCCUCUGAGCCACGAUGGGAA